CAUCAGCACUCUUGUGCUAGAAGCAGCCCCUGUCUGUGCAAGUCUGCCCUGAACUUCAGAAAGUGCCCUCACUGAGAAGAGACUGAGCUGAGAAGUCAAACCCCUGACCAGAACUGGUUCUCGUCUAUCCCAAACCAGGACAGUUCCACUCAGCACAAAGUAUAUUCUACUUUUUAAGUUCAUCCACACCAAGAGUGUUUCUACACCCUUUGAGAGCUUCUCUGAGUGACAGCCACAGAACAGCCACCCUGGCAAGAGGGCAACUACAAAUGGAUCCCACUUUUUUCCAUUCCUUUGAAGAAUAUCACCACCAAUAACAACAAAACCAGCAGAUACUGGGAGUCUUAGGAUGAGAAAGCUUCAGUGAGUACAAGUGUCGCAUUCCUCAUGUAGUUCUCUUAAAGGUUAUAAGUCAAAAAUCAGAUCACUUAAUAUACAGUCAAUCACAUAUGAUGAGAGAUGACCACAGCCUCUGCAGAUUUCCAGCUCCUUACUUUCCUGUCAUCUCUACAGCUAAUAUCAGAUGACAGCGUUGAGAUCCUCCAAUUCUUUGCUAAUGCCCUGCUCAAACCUAGAGCCAACAUGUGAUAUCAUACUUUCUGUCUCCCUCCCACAUCUCUUGCUUGCUUUCUCUAUCUUGUGCCCUCUCAGGUGCCUCUCAUAGAAUCACAGACUCAUGGAAUCAUUAAGAUUGAAAAAGACCUCUAAAAUCAUCAACCCAACACACCAUGCCUGAUAGAAUCAUAGAAUCAAUAAGGUUGGAAAAGACCUCUAAAAUCACUGAGUCCAAGCAUCAGCCCCACCAUGCCCACUAAACCAUUUCCCUCUCAUGCAUAUUUCUGUCUAUUAGCAGUGAUAUACAGUCUUGUCUUUUCAGAGGAGGAAUUCACAAUGCUACCUUUCAUUGAGUGAGAUGCUCUGCAUUCUUUCUGAAACAGCUAUUACUGGUCUGGACUGAGGAAUGAGAGAAAAACCAAAGCAGUUCAGUAGAAAUUAUCUUCUUAAUGGUGAAAUCUGAAUUAUAUAUAUUAGAACACCAUUUAUCCAAUGUAUUUCAUUAUCCUUCUUAAAAAGGGGAAGACUCCUCUGUGUCUUCUGUAUGCCUAUGAAGGUUUAUUAGCCUGAGUAAAAAGUUAUUAUUAUUCAAUUGAAUAA